AACGCACAUUGCGCCCUUUGGUAUUCCGAAGGGCAUGCCUGUUCGAGCGUCAUUAUCACCCCUCAAGCCCCGUGCUUGGUGUUGGACGGUCGGUCGCGCCCCGGCGCGACCCCUCCCAAAGACAAUGACGGCGGCCUGUGGUCCCCCCGGUACACUGAGUGUUUUCGUCUUUGCGGCACACGUAUCGGACGCGGGGGCUCGGGUCCCGGUCUCUCCUUACACAUUUUUAUCAAGGUUGACCUCGGAUCAGGUAGGAAUACGCGCUGAACUUAA
rnacentral:misc_RNA from 1 species